CCUACGGGUGGCAGCAGUGGGGAAUAUUGGGCAAUGGGCGCAAGCCUGACCCAGCAACGCCGCGUGAAGGAAGAAGGCUUUCGGGUUGUAAACUUCUUUUCUCAGGGAUGAAGCAAGUGACGGUACCUGAGGAAUAAGCCACGGCUAACUACGUGCCAGCAGCCGCGGUAAUACGUAGGUGGCAAGCGUUAUCCGGAUUUACUGGGUGUAAAGGGCGUGUAGGCGGGGACGCAAGUCAGAUGUGAAAACCACGGGCUCAACCUGUGGCCUGCAUUUGAAACUGUAUUUCUUGAGUGCUGGAGAGGCAAUCGGAAUUCCGUGUGUAGCGGUGAAAUGCGUAGAUAUACGGAGGAACACCAGUGGCGAAGGCGGAUUGCUGGACAGUAACUGACGCUGAGGCGCGAAAGCGUGGGGAGCAAACAGGAUUAGAUACCCUUGUAGUC
rnacentral:rRNA from 1 species